rnacentral:rRNA from 1 species
UACAGAGGUCUCAAGCGUUGUUCGGAUUCAUUGGGCGUAAAGGGUGCGUAGGCGGCGUGGUAAGUCGGGUGUGAAAGCUCGGAGCUCAACUCCAGAACUGCCUUCGAUACUGGCGAUCUCGAGUCCGGGAGAGGUGAGUGGAACUGCGAGUGUAGAGGUGAAAUUCGUAGAUAUUCGCAAGAACACCAGUGGCGAAGGCGGCUCACUGGCCCGGUACUGACGCUGAGGUGCGAAAGCGUGGGGAGCAAACAGG